rfam:Geminocystis sp. NIES-3709 DNA, complete genome.
AAUAACCAAAGAUUACUGCAGGGUUAAGAGUCGGGUUACUAAUUACACGAACAUCACCACCACCGGGAGCCCAAGUGUCAUAAACACCGCCAAAGAACAUGGCUUUGAAUACGAGCAAUAAAGCACCCACUCCCAAAAGGAUUAAGUGAUAACCAAUAAUGUUGGUCAUUUGGUUUUUAUCUUUCCA